AGGAAGAUGUUUCAGAUAAUAAGUGAAGCUAGUGUUCUACACUACUGGAGCUUCAAAGAGUCCAUUUUAAUUGGUUUUUUAGUUUUAAUUUCAAGUUUUUUUUAUUUGCUUUUAGUUUUUAGUUUUUGGAUUUCUUUUUGACUUGCCUAGUGGAUAGUUCUUCUGCAAUUGGUCUGGUGAUUUAAGUGAAUCAUAUGCUAUGCUUGAAUUGAAUACAGAUCUCUUGUGUUUGCUCAUUAUACAGUUGAAUUGUUUUGAAUAUCUGAUUGAGAUGAUGUGUUUGAGCCUAUUGAACGGAGAUUGUGGUUGCUUGUAUCUGCUUAGAUAGAUGCUUGAUUUUUAUUGUGAUCAAUAUUCUGGGCAUGAUGUUUGUCAAAAUUUUGAACCCUGAGUAAACCUGUGAGAUGUUGUGCCCCAGAGUUUAUUGUUGAGUGCUAUCACUUUGAAAUCACAUUUGAUUUUGCCUGAGUUUCUCUAUUUGAACUAUUUGCUUGCUUGUUACAAAUGAUCGAGGCCAUCUUGUUCUUCGACCUCUUCUACAUUUUUGAGCCUAAAAGCCAAUGCAAAACCCUUGAACCUUGAAGAAAAACUUUCUCAUCCCUGNAACCUUAAGCUCAUUGAAAAAUCCUUAACCUCCUUACCUUGAGCUGAGAUGAACAUAUAUGAUAGAAUGAGGAGAAUGGUUUAAGUUUGAGGGAGUUUAUGAAAUAAGGGAGCAUUGAGAAACUAAUAACAUGAGUCAAAAAGAAAGAAAAAGAAGAAAGAAGAAGAAAAGAAAUAAAAUGCAUUGAAUGAACAAGAGUUGGAAAAUAAGUUGAGAAGUGGUUUAUCCAAUUGUGAAGCAAAAAGAGAGACUAAUGCUAUAUCAUGAAGUAAAUUGUUUUCUCUCUUAGCUCAAGGUGCUUUGUUGUCCAGAAAAACCAAUUUUUCUUCUUAGCCCAGCCACAUUACAAGCCUUAAAAAGUCCUUGUGAUGCUAACUUGCUUGUGAAUGUGUUUGAUAUUGUUGAAACAAAUGGCAAAUUUGAUUUGUGUGACACUGUGAAAGUUGAGAGUUAGACACACAUCCUUAUACACCACUGUGCUUGAGUGAAACACUUUCUUUGGUGAGGAUUGGUUCCAUGCAUUCAAUGAAAACAUC
rnacentral:lncRNA from 1 species